UACGUAGGGUGCGAGCGUUGUCCGGAAUUAUUGGGCGUAAAGAGCUCGUAGGCGGUGUGUCACGUCGGCCGUGAAAACCUGCAGCUUAACUGUGGGCGUGCGGUCGAUACGGGCAUCACUGGAGUUCGGCAGGGGAGACUGGAAUUCCCGGUGUAGCGGUGAAAUGCGCAGAUAUCGGGAGGAACACCAGUAGCGAAGGCGGCUCGCUGGGCCACACCUGACGCUGAGACGCGAAAGCUAGGGGAGCGAACAGG
rnacentral:rRNA from 1 species